rnacentral:lncRNA from 1 species
AGGGGCCAGAGCUUCUGCCUCCAAAAUUUCCUCCUUUCAUGGGUCCAAAAUUUGAAGAUUGAUUGUUGUAAUUUCCAAAAUCAUUGUAGCUUCCGCCACCUCCAAAAUUGCUUCCAUCAUUACCAAAUCCAUUAAAAGCAAAUCCUCUCUUCUUGCCACUGCCUCUGUCAGUCAUGAUUUCAAUCACUUCAAUUUUCCCAUAUUGUUCAAAAUAAUCUCUUAGGUGAUGUUCUUCAGUGUCUUCUUUAAUGCCACCAACAAAAAUCUUUUUCACAGUUAAGUGGGCACCAGGUCUUUGAGAAUCUUCUCUUGAGACGGCCCUCUUUGGUUCCACAACUCGUCCAUCCACCUUGUGUGGCCUUGCAUUCAUAGCUGCAUCCACCUCCUCCACAGUGGCUUACGUGACAAAGCCAAAGCCUCUGGAGUGCUUGGUGUUUGGACUC